rnacentral:lncRNA from 1 species
AUUUUCAGAGGCACCGAAAUUCCGACGACAACGUCUCAAGCUCGGAGACGUAGUUUUCGUACAAGCCAUUCACCCUGCAUUGAGUCUUUUAAAUCCCAGAUGGAAAGAAAAGAAAAUCCGCUACCUGGAUCAGCGAGCGAAGUAGCAAGGCCAAGAGGAGGGAGGAGUGGACCGCAGCGAUCCUGGAGAAGAAGGUGGGGCAUGCGCAACCAGCAAGUUUUCCCGAUGAGGCACCACCACUUCCCUUGUGGACACUACCGCCGGGACGAAACUCACAAGAAAGCGCAGGAGCUUGAGCUGCGUGGAGGCGGGACACACACUCGCGUUCCUCUCGGAGGCAAGAAUGAGCCGACCUGGAUGUGUGGAGUGACGCGCACGACGGCUUGGACAAGAGAGAUGUAGCGUCGCGAGACAAUCCACCGCGCGCUCGUCUGAAAGGGGCGUUAGCAUUGUCGAA